CCAACCAAAUACACAACCCAGUAUAAGCGUGCCUGCCUCUUUCUCUCUCAUAUUCUCUUAUGAGUUCUCAAAAUUAACAACCAAUAAUCCAUUUUACAACAAAAGAUAAAGAAACCAUUCCAAGUAAGCCAGACAUUUUUAAUCUGAUUUGGCUUAUUUUGCUUUCGGCGAGUUUAAUAUGCUACAAAUUUUCAAAUUCGAGGAUUUCUUCUUUUUCGGUUUUUUUUUUGUUUUUUUGUUUUUUUGUUUUUUUGUUUUUUUUUUGUUUUUUGGGUUCGAACUUUACGCUUUCUUACUGUUCAGAGGCAUGGUUCUUUAUUCUAAAUUCCGUUAUAUUGAUCUAAUUUUGAUUUUGAUGAUUAUAAAUUUUGGUUAUACGGAUGUUUAAUUUAGAUGGUGAUGGAAUUAGACCAUAUAUUACAUGUUUUCACUUGGAUUAGUAUUUUUUUUUUUUCCUUUUUUGGGUUUUGAAUUGCUCAGAAUUUUGCUGUUUAAGAAAAGCUUUUCUAUUCUAUAUAUGGUUAUUCUCUCAUCUCGGUAGUUUUGAGUAGACUAUUCAACAUGGGAAAGUCCCUGAAGAGAUUGUUCCCAGUUCGAUAUCAAUUUGCUAUAUGUGAGUUUCAAAAUUGAGAGAGUAAAGUGAAAAACAAUGCAUAAUUCAUAGGGGUACAAUAUAAUUCCGCCAAUUUUCGAGACUUUGAAUGUAAGACCGCGCUUGAAAUUCGCUGUGUUGGGGGACUCUGGGGUCCAUUCUCAAUGGCGGUAGAGGAAUGUAUUGAACUGCAAGAUGCAAGUUUCUCCCUUUGGCUUGGCUGGUUGAUAAUUGGCCUGGAUUCCUACUUAAAAAAACGUGGGCGAAACAGCAGUGGGCCUAGGUCAUUUCUGUCGAUCCUCGAUACUGACAAAAGACGAAAGGCCCAAUCAAAAGAAAUGCACGUGAUCUUGUGGGAUACAAAAGUAUAAGAAAUAGAGAAAAACCAAGGGAUUCGCUGCAGAAAGAUUGAGACGCUCAUUGGUGGAAAAAAUUGCUGAUGAUAUAAAGGAGGAAAUGAUAAACAAAUUACAAAAAGUACAAAAAAUAAAGGUGUGGCAUGGGACCUCAUGUUGGUAGACCUGUCGCUGUGGGUUAUUUUUAUUUUUAUUAUUUUAUUUAUAUUUUCAGCUUUACCA